UACGGGGGGAGCAAGCGUUGUUCGGAUUUACUGGGCGUAAAGGGCGCGUAGGCGGCGCAACAAGUCACUUGUGAAAUCUCCGGGCUUAACUCGGAACGGUCAAGUGAUACUGUUGUGCUAGAGUGCGGAAGGGGCAACUGGAAUUCUCGGUGUAGCGGUGAAAUGCGUAGAUAUCGAGAGGAACACCUGUGGCGAAAGCGGCGCACUGGACCACAACUGACGCUGAGGCGCGAAAGCUAGGGGAGCAAACAGG
rnacentral:rRNA from 1 species